rnacentral:sRNA from 1 species
AUAGGAGGGAAUCUUGUGGCAAUUUCUGUCACCACACUGACUGUCAGGAUUUAUUUGGCUGAUCUAGAUAUGUAGAUAGGUAGGUGUGCCUGUCUUACUCACAGGUAUAAGAACAUCUUUCCAGAAAGAGCAUGCUAGGUGGAAGAUGGUGACCUUUCCCAAUAGAGAAAAACCAUCCUUUGGUCAAGAGUAUAGACACAAUUAUGCUCUCUUAAAUUACAUUUAUU